UACGUAGGGACCAAGCGUUGUUCGGAUUUACUGGGCGUAAAGGGCGCGUAGGCGGCGUGUUAAGUCAGCUGUGAAAUCUCCAAGCUUAACUUGGAACGGUCAGCUGAUACUGAUGUGCUAGAGUGCAGAAGGGGCAAUCGGAAUUCUUGGUGUAGCGGUGAAAUGCGUAGAUAUCAAGAGGAACACCUGAGGUGAAGGCGGCCCCCUGGUUGGAUACUGACGCUGAUACGCGAAAGCGUGGGGAGCAAACAGG
rnacentral:rRNA from 1 species